UACCACAAGUCUGCGCAAAAACUGAUUAUAUAAGGAACUGUUUGACUUAGUGUAUUUUGAGCUUCUUAGCUAGUUUGCAAACUAAUAAAAUGUAAACUUGCUCCAACUUGUCUCUGUCUCAAUCGUUCCCUCAGCACGGGACCGGUGCCUGCAGCGUUGUAUGCAGAAAAUCCACCACAGGUCACAAAUGGAGAUCAGAUAAAGGGGCAUUCAGUACAGAAGAUAUGAGGCACCUUUUUACACAGAAAAUUGUGAGGGUCUGGAACUAACACCCCAGUAAUGUUGUUGAAGCUGACACCCUGGGAUCCUUCAAGAAGAUGCUUGAUGAGAUUAUGGGAUCAAUAAGAUACUAACAACCAAACGAGCAAGAUGGGCUGAAUGGCCUCCUCUCAUUUGUAAACCUUCUUAUGUUCUUAUGUUCUAGAACGCCAGACCGGCAACGGGAGCAGUAAACACAUGGGAAGUAUGAUUGUGUUUGUCUGGGAUCUAUAUGUAAAACAGUUAACGAAAGCAGUAAACACAUGGGAAGUAUGAUUGUGUUUGUCUGGGAUCUAUAUGUAAAACAGUUAACGAAAGCAGUAAACACAUGGGAAGUAUGAUUGUGUUUGUCUGGGAUCUAUAUGUAAAACAGUUAACGAAAGCAGUAAACACAUGGGAAGUAUGAUUGUGUUUGUCUGUGAUCUAUAUGUAAAACAGUUAACGAAAGCAGUAAACACAUGGGAAGUAUGAUUGUGUUUGUCUGGGAUCUAUAUGUCUGAUCAGAUCAUCAAGUGAUUUAAAGAGCCAGGGCUACUGGCAUGUGUGCGACUUACAGCAAAGUAAACAACAUUGUUUUGCCCAAGAGGGAGAGGUGACACGGCUCUGGAAGAUCAGUUCAAGUGCAGAGACCAGGACAGCUUUCGCUUCACCUCAAGCUAGAAGCCCCAAAGAGGAAAGGCGCAUCUGGUGAGGAGCUGGACUGGCCUGGGGGACAGGCUGGCAACGCGGGAGAAAGAGCAACCACACGCAAGCGGGACGAAGAGGAGUGAGAGCGGCUCGUAACAAGCUGGUGACACUGGGUAUCACUGCGCUGUAUAAAUAAGGCGGUCUUAGGAAGGAGGAGAGCGAGUCUCUCCGGUGCGCAGCAGUUGGUCAAGGUCCUUGCAAUCAUCGCCCUACCAUCACCAGACCUGGAUUGAUGGAAAACUGAGGUAAGGGAGUCGGGGAAAACCUUGCUACAAGAAGUAAGAGGGCAGACAAUGGGAGGGUGGACCCCCGAAAAUCUACCGCCUAACCCCUGACAGCCCCUGGCAAAUAGGGAGCCCCGUAGGCCAGCCUUGAAUACUUGGUAUUGAGCAAGACCACUGCAAUACCCCAAAUACCAGUGGGAUGAGGCCGGCCUAUUUGCAUAAUAUGUGAUCAGGGUGGGGCAUAUGUCCUAUGAGUGCUCUCGGGAAGUAGGACGAGAGCCGGCUUUAAACACCAUUCAGAUCUGUGUUGUCCUCCAGCGCUAUAGGUCCGGUGGCUUCGCUGUGGAUCCAUAGUGCGAAAAUUAAUAGGUUGGCAGGAACACGUUUCGGAGGACGCGUGUUUCAGGCUCCGUUUCCCGAGUGGCCGUUGGGUUGCAGCGGUGAACCGGGAUAAAAAUUAUAAUGCAGUGCAAUGCAAUAAUGCUCAAUGCACUGACUCAUAAGGAUGCAUACCCCUUAUUGAGGAGUCCCUCGCCUGCCUAAAACAGGCCCAGUGGUAGUCUACAUUGGAUCUGGCCAGUGGGUAUUGGCAGGUAGAAGUGGAUCCGCGAGACAGGGAGAAGACUGCCUUCACAACCCUCCUCAGGCUGUAUGAAUUUGAACAUAUGCUUUUUGUCCUUUGCAAUGCCCCAGCAACCUUCCAACAUUUGAUGCAACAAUGUUUGGGGGCCCAUUAUUGAUUUAUCUGGAUCAUGUGAUAGUGUGUUCACCUCAUUUCAAUUCUCAUUUACAGCAUCUGGAGAAUGUGUUCCGACAGCUCUGGAAAUUCCUCAUUUCAUGGUGUGCGUGUGGUUGUGUAUUUCGGGUCGGGUUGGGUUACAUUGGGAGCCUUUGAACAGUGGUCCAUUGGUAUCGUGUCGUCAAGGGCCCCAGGGCCACUGUUCAUCAAACUUACCUGGUCUGUACAGAUGCAAACACUGGAUACAUUUACACUGAUGACGAAGGCACUCGCCCAAAGGCUUCACUGCUUGACUUAAAGUUAGCUUGAUCAAACUAUACCAGGGACGUAGUGUACAUUAAGGCAGCCAAGGCGGUAGCCUCGGUAAAAAUCGGCUCUGUACAUUUUUUAAAACAAAAAAAUAUAUCAAAAAUAUGUCACAAGUGGUGGUUUUUAAUGCCUGUAUUUUUGUUGUGUGUUUUAUUAGUGAAUCUGUUGUUUUUAAACUGCUGCUCAUUCUCCUGUGCACUGUGACUGACGUUUGGGUUUAGCACUUUCCCCACAGUCGAUAGGAAGUCCCGCCUUACCUGCCAGUCCAGCCAAUGAUAGUCAUGGGCUGACUAUAAAAAGGGAGGAACAGGGACCAGGAUGGGAGAGAAGUGUUUGGGGAAGAAGCAUGCAACAUAUCUGGAAGAAUAGUGAGGAGACAGCAGUAUUAGAAAGGAACAGCAGCAGGGAGAACACUCUUGGGAGCAGUUUAAGGUUGACUGCAGGAACAAAGGAAUGGGUUUGGAGUUUUUGGUUUUUCUCCUAUUUGGGACUUUGUUGCAGCGGGACUUGGUUGGGAUAUUUUUGUAUGGAUUUUUGUUUCUUGGGAUUUUGUUUUAUUAUCACCUGCCACUGUUGGACUGUGUUUGAGCUGCUUUUUAUGUGGUAACGGUUUUUUGUUUUUUUUGGUUUACAAAUAGAUUUUUAUUUUGGAUAACUGCCUUGCUCUGUCUGGUUGGCACUCCUUGGAUAAUCCAUUCCCCAGUAGAGUCAAGGUCGUGGUCCCGGGAGACGGUCAAGGGUCUGAGGUCAUGUCAGGACACGCUCAAGGUCUGCCAGCGUUCUACUUAUCGUUGUCCCAAGGUUCGAGGUCCAGCAUCCGGGUCCGGAGAUACUUACCAGUCAGCACGGAGGUCGAGGUCCAACGCCGGUCUUCAGCGUGCCACAUCGGACUUUGGGGGGGUUUCAGUUGGUCCGCUUUGUGUGAAUCUCUGUGAGCGCUGCUGCUCAGUCAGUAGUUGAUUGCUGUCUGGUGUGUUACUGUGCUGUUGCUGCUGUUGCUAUUCGUGGUGCUGAGCCUGCUGUAUUUUUAAAUAAAAGAGCAUGUUGCUGGCGUCCUCUUGCAAUCUCCUAACUCGCUACAGUGUGUUUCAGAACCAACUUCAGUCGUAGCACCUCCUUACACCUCAGUUUUAUUCAGUUUCUUUCAGUUUGAUGCUAAUUCUGGGUUAAAAUUGUGGUUCAUGACAUAGAAAGAGUUUAACAGUGCAUCGUUCCGAUAUGUUUGAUAGGUCUUGCAGCAGUCUGGGUGAAAAUAAACUGAAUGGCCUUGCCCUGCUAUAUGUCCACAGAGACAAGGAGGUGCCCUGGAGGAAGUGUUGCAGCGUUUCGAUAGAUCGAUAGGAGGAUUGGUAAACUCUAAAGUAAAGCCUUCUAAAUCAUGACAUCAUACAGUCUCAGCAGUCUGAUCAGUCUAAGCACUAGUAUCAGCAAUCUUACCAGUCCCAGCAGUGUCAGCACCAAUCUUACCAGUACCAGCAGUGUCAGCACCAGUCUUACCAGUCCCAGCAGUGUCAGCACCAGUCUUACCAGUCCUAGCAGUAGCAGCACCAGUCUUACCAGUCCCAGCAGUGUCAGCACCAGUCUUACCAGUCCCAGCAGUGUCAGCACCAGUCUUACCAGUCCAGCAGUGUCAGCACCACUUACCAGUCCCAGCAGUGUCAGCACUAGUCUUACCAGUCCAGCAGUGUCAGCACCAGUCUUACCAGUCCCAGCAGUGUCAGUAGCAGUGAACCAAAUGCAUGUCUCUCAGUGAGGGUAUAAACCCAUCUACUUACUGAUAUUUUUAAGUUUUAUUCUUCUUGUCCUUUUAAUAUCACAUAUUUCUCACAGUGUGAAUAGGGUCAUUUUAGGUUCAUGUUAGGAAGGUGAACUUUAUCAUCUUGUAAAGAGAUUAUUAAUGUAAACUACAAAGCAAUAUAAGUCGCUAACUCUUUUUACCCAGUGGCCCACCUUGGAUGAUGUUUGAAAUGUUAUGACCCUAUUUAAAACAAAUUGUCUCCCAGCAAAAACACACCGACCUAAAAUUACCUUAUUCACACUGUCAGAAAUAGGGGUUAUUAAAAAGGACAAGAAGAAUAUGGAGAUGGAAUUUGAUCAUCUCUAUGAAGAUGGAAUUUGAUGAUUUUUCCUUCUGUGGUUUCAAAGAUCGUAUUUGUGAAUUGCUUAGAAGCUCCUGCCAAUGCUUCUCCCUCAGUCCACAUUAACACAUAGAUCCAUGUCUUAUUCAUUCUGUUCUUUGAUCUCUGUGUGCUGCUGGUUCAGUUUGAACCACUCGUGUUUUUAUUGUGUUCUUUGUACUUUGCGAUUGUCCUUUCAUUGUUUUCCAGUUGCCCUUGUAAACGAGGCCUCAGUCUCAAAAGGUACAUC